GGCUUACCAAGGCGAUGAUGCAUAGCCGAGUUGAGAGACUGAUCGGCCACAUUGGGACUGAGACACGGCCCAAACUCCUACCGGGAGGCAGCAGUAGGGAAUCUUCCACAAUGGACGCAAGUCUGAUGGAGCAACGCCGCGUGAGUGAAGAAGGUUUUCGGAUCGUAAAGCUCUGUUGUUGGUGAAGAAGGAUAGAGGUAGUAACUGGCCGUUUAGUUUGACGGUAAUCAACCAGAAAGUCACGGCUAACUACGUGCCAGCAGCCGCGGUAAAU
rnacentral:rRNA from 1 species